UCGUUGAUUUAUUAUGCGGUAUGGGU
rnacentral:sRNA from 1 species